rnacentral:lncRNA from 10 species
CUUCUUUCUUCUCUUUAUUUUCUUCUUUUUUUUCUUGUUUCGUUUCUUAUUUUUCUUUAUUUUCUUUAAUUUCUUUAUUUAUUUUCUUUAAAAGAACCUGGGUCUCACUCUGUCCCCUAGGCUGGAAUGCAGUGGUGUGAUCAUGGCCCACUGCAGCCUUGAACUCCUGGACCCAAGCAAUCCUCCCAUCUCAGCCUCCCAAGUAGCUGGAACUACAGGUGUAAGCCACACCUGGAUAACUCAUUUAUUUUUAGAUAACCUGUUUUUAAUAUUGGAAGCUUUUAUGAUUAUCUCUGGACGGGAAAACUGGCUUAGAGAUGUUAAAUAUCCUGGAUUAUUGUCAGUUUAACAAAAUAAUUUCGGCUAUCAAAGAUCAAGUGGGAUAAAUUUCAGAGGAAGAAACUGAGCUCCUUGCAUACCAUAGAGGAGAGGUCGAGGUCCUUCCACUGAAGCACCAAGUGGGGUAUAUAAAGCCACACUGCCCAUGAGGGCUGUGGUGUGAGUCUGCUAGCCGUGAGAGACAGAUGCAUUACAAAGGGAUGGAUUUAGUGCACUCUUUCCUCUCUUACUCACAGCCUGAACAGCCAGUGAACAAUGAAACAAAACUUCUUCCCAAGCCUCAAUGAGGAUUGUGCCAUAGUUUGAAGAGAUGGCAUCAAGGUGAGUUGAUUCAGCAGCUUAACCUUGUCAUCGAGCAUUCCAGUUCUUUCAGCCUCUCUACUCUGCUGUCUGCAACAACAGUUUAUACAAAGGCUGGUUUCUUUCUCAUGUGAGAUGGCUUUGUGUUUGCCCAGUGUGUGUGUGUGUGUGUGUGUGUGUGUGUGUGUGUGUGUGUGUGGCAGAGGGGCUUCUCAUGUGUAUAGGUGAAGUAAGUUGGAGUUAUUUAGGAAAGGGAAGAGCAAAAAGAAAGAAAGAAUACUGGGUAAUCAUCAAUGCCCAACACAGGAAAGAGUGUAAGUAAAUGAAACCUCUGUUUUUUAAUGAUAAAUUUUGCAUGUAGCAUGUUCUAGUAAAGUUUGGCUCCACUGAACUUGUAUUACUUUGUAAAAUAUUCAAAGUCAUAUUGAAAAAAAUUCAAAUGUUCUCUAUUUAUUACUUCCCUUUUGGAAUUCAGUUAUGACUCCUUAACAUAGAGGCUCUAAAUUCUUAAUUAUAUAGCUGUGAAAUAGACUUUUAAGUGGAUUGUAAUUUUAUACAUUUGUGAGCUUUUAUUGCAUUCAUUUCUUAUGGCAGAGAUUGCUCCUUAUUCUCACAAUCUUUAUUUGGGCCAUGGCUGUUCUGCAUAUAGACUACUUGGCAGCCUCCCUUAGAACUAGGUGUAGCCAUAUGAUCAAGGUCUGUUCAUGGGAAUAUAAAUGAAAGUAAUGUGUACAACUUCCAGCCAAUGCUUUCAAAGGAAAGGUGUGACACUUUAGGGCUGGUAGAAAGAAACAACAAUAAGGAGCCUAGAUACCUGGUAAGUUUUAAACAGAAGACCUAGUGUAUCAGCCUACAUAAUUAUGUCUAUCUUGUAUAAGCCAUUUUAAAUUUAGGCUGAACUUAUAUCCUAAUGCAGUAGAUAACCAAUAUCAAUACAUUGUCUAGAAAUAAAACAUAAUUUUCUGUUGUUUUUUGAUUUUCUUUUAGAUGAAGUCUUGCUCUGUUGCCCAGUCUGGAGUGCAGUGGUACGAUCAUAACUCACUGAAGUCUCAAACUUCUGGGCUCAACCAAUCCUCCCGCUUAACCUCCCAAGUAGCUGGGACGACAGGUGCAUGCCACUACGCAUUGCUAUUAAAAAAAAAAUUGUAGAGAUGGGGUCUUACUAUGUUGCCCAGGCUAGUCUUGAACUCCUGGCCUCAAGCAAUUUUUCCAUCUUGGCCUCUGAAACGCUGGGAUUACAGGUGUGAGACACCACAAGGCCUGAUUUUUUUUUUUUUUUUUUUUUUUUUUACUGGAAAUUGGAUUACAAUCCUUCUGAGUACAAUAUAAAAUACAUUGCUUGUUGUUGAAUAAUUUUAGGAAUGGAGUAGCAUCAUAUGGAGCUUCCAACAUUCUUAUUUUGAUUUUGUAGUUUUUUAAUAAACACAGAAGACUUAACUGUUUUGAAUGAAUUUACCCAUUGCAAGCAAUUAACAUCCAAUCACUUUACUUAAAAUAAUCAAACCAUUUGUGUAUAUAUAUACAGGAUAUAUUUCUACUGUUUACUGUCUCAAAGCAUUUUAACAAGCUAUUGUGCUGGCAGAGUUAAUUAGAUCUGAAAACUGGUAUAAUAAAAACAAUAAAAAACUGUAAGAAUGCAUUAAAAUAGAACACCAAAAUAAUAGAACCUAAGGUUUCUAAAGUUGUAUUUGACAAGUCAAAUGUUCCUUAAUAACUGGAUGCAUCAGAAUACAUUGUUCAUUAUAAUAUUAAAGGCAUGUAAUGAAAUGAAAAUUGAAGCAAUAGAGAAUUCAGUAUGCACAAUUAUUUUAAAUUUAAAAUCUUACCCAUAAUGAACAUAGCUAAAAACAUAAAAGACAAAUGAUAGAGAAAUUAAAAGCAAUUAUCAAAGGAAUUCUCAGCAGAAAUUUCUGAUUUAAAUUAAAGCCUAUGAUUAAAAAUCUCCUGCCUCUUUGUCCCUCUCGCCUCUUCCCACAAUUCCUUACUGCCUCAGCACCUUGUAACUUACAUUUCUUUUCUUUAAAGACAAUCAUACUAUGCUUGAUCUAUGUGGCAGGAAUGAACAUAUCAACUUCACUUUUCAUCAACUUCACAUCUUUCUGGAUCCUGUCUCUGUAAGCCCUAAUGCUUAACUUGUGAAAGAACAAAGAUGGAAAUACUAUUGAGUAAGGUCCAUGAAAAGUGGAAUUAUUUUUCACCUACAUAAAUGUUAAUUUUGUAAAUAAAAAAGAAGACCAUUUCAGAUUUUUUUAAAAUUGAGGCUUGAAAUGGAGUACAGUGUAUUUUGGUGGCCAGGCCUGGAUUGUGAUUAUCUAGGUACCCUAAGUAGCAAAAAGAUUAUGGUCCCUCA